rnacentral:lncRNA from 1 species
AGAUUUAGACAGAGCGAAGAUUAUGCGAAGAAAGAAGGAAAAGGCGGCUGUCUCCAAGACAAAGAGAGAGGCCUCACGGGACGCCAACCCUGCUGACACCUUGAGCUUGGACUUCCAGCCUCCAGAACUGUGAGACAGUAAAUUUCUGUUGUUUAAGCCCCCUAGUCUGUGGUACUUUGUCAUGGCAGACCUAGCAUGCUAAUAUACCCCUCAAACUAGCCACAGCCCAAAGGGGAAUUUGUUUGAUGGAUCAUACACUGCAGGAACAACUGAGGUGCAGCUGGGCCACGUGAAACAACUGGAAUCAGGGAUUUGAAAGCCACUAGGAGCUCACCUCUAUCUUCCAUCUCUGCUUCUCUGACUUUGUCCUCCCAGAACCAGCUUCCUGUACAUGGCAGGGAAUGGCUCCCCCAUUUGCAACUUAAAGCUUCAUCACCUAGGAGGGACUGGCCUUUUGUCCCACUGCUAGUUUACAAAAUCCUAAAGAAGGAUUUUGAUUGGCUGGCCUACGUCAUUGCCCAGCCCAAGACCAAUAAUAGACACAGCAGCUAAUUUGUUCAGCAACUACUCUGUGCAAAGCACUCCAUUCAUUCUACUAAAUAAUUUGCUAAACAUGUGGGGUUAUUAUCAUUAUGAUUACACCUUUACAGAUGAGGAAGCUGAGUCAUGAAGUAGUCAGGGAACUUGUCCCAGGGCACACAGGGUGUGAGCAAUGUCCCUGAGUCCAAUGUGGGGUGGCCAAUGAGUGCAGCUAGCAGGUCCUGUUUUUUGUUUUUUGUUUUGUUUGUUUGUUGUUGUUUUUUGUUUAUUUAUUUAUUUAUUUAUUUUGAGACAGGGUCUCCUUCUGUCUCAUCCAGGCUGGAGAGCAGUGGUGCAAUCAUGGUUCAACCUCCCAGGCUCAAGUGAUCCUCCCACCUCAGUGUCCUGAGUAGCUGGGACUAUAGGCGCAUGCCACCACACCUGCUAAUUUUUUGUAUUUUUAGUAGAGAUGGAGUUCACCACAUUGCCCAGACUGGUCUUGAACUUCUGGGCUCAAGGGAUCCUCCCACCUUGGCCUGCCCAGCCUAGCAAGUCCUUUCUAAACCAAUGAGUCAGUGCCAGUCUCCCAUAGUCCCUGUAAAUCUUGCCACACCCUUCAAGUAUCAUCCACUAUGCAGCCACCUUGCUGGACAAAGGGUGCCCUCUGAGAUCCUGAGAAAAGGCCACAAUGACUUCUGGCUGGCAACUCCAUCAUGCCUUUUAUUCAAAGGCUGCAGUGGCUAAUACAAAGAGAGGCCAGCAGGGUAGUAAACAAUCCCUAAAUUGAGAGCCUGGGAACUCAGAGAGCCUGACCAGCAUCUUGCCCUAAGCAGUCCUGCCCUGUGCUCCAACCUAAUGGGAUCUCUGAAUUCUCCUUGGGCUUUCCAGGCAGCAGAGGAACUUGGCAGGCAGUCUGUAGGUUUCUCAAGCUUGCAGUAAAAUGCUGAGAUUCUGGCCAGUAAUUUCCCCUUCAGACCUAACCUGCCUUGCCCAAUGACUAGGCUUUUGGAAACUUUGAUUCAAGAAAUAGAGCGGUUGGUAAUAAUCUCUGAUGAUCAGUCCGAGCUUGGCAUUUUCAUUUGACCUAGAAUCAGUGAGAUUUGGAGAAGCAACCACUUUGGUGCACUGCCUUGUAGGAGUAGAAAUUGGUUCAGUGCAUCUGGAUGAUAUUGGACACUGUGCAUCAAAAGCCUUAAAGUCAUUCAUGUCCUUUGACUCACUUUGACUCAACAAUUCUCUCUGGACUAUUCCACAAUCCUAUGGAAAUAAUCAAAGUCCUGCAAAAAUAAUUCUUCAUGUUCAUCAUAGCAUUAGUAGAAAACCAGGAAGUACUUUAAAUAUUCAACCUAUAAAGCCGAUUACAUUACUCUCUCUCUCUUUUUUUUUUUCCAGACAGAGUCUUGCUCCGUUGCCCAGGCUAGAGUGCAGUGGUACGAUCUUGGCUCAGUGCAACCUCUCAAGUUUAAGUGAUUCUCAAGCCUCAGCCUCCUGCUAGCUGGGACUACAGGCAUGCACCAGCAUGCCUGGCUAAUUUUUGUAUUUUUAGUAGAGAUGGGGUUUUGCCAUGUUGGCCAGGCUGCUCUUGAACUCCUGACCUCAACUGAUCCUCCAGCCUCAGCCUCCCAAAGUGCUGACAUUACAAGCAUAAGCCACUGUGCUCGGCCCAGUGCAACUCUUUUGAUACAAGGAACUAUUCAAAAAUUAUGUCAUGAAAGUUGGUUUAAUGGCAUGUUGUCAAGUAGGAAAAGAUUUUAAAAAUAAUUUAUACAUAAUUCACUUUGAUUUUUAAACUGUAAAAGUAAAACUAUAGAUUUUUUUCUCUAUAUGUCAGAAAAGACUAGAGGGAUAUAUACACCAAAAUGUUUAUAAUAAUUUUUUCCUUUAUGCUUUUCAACAUUUCCCAGUGGUAAACAUAAAUAACUUAAAAUGACAAAACAACUCUAAUAUGUACUUUUAAGUUAAAAAAAAAAACAUUUUGGAUGGUGUUUCUGUGUUUCUAUAAUUCAUCUGACUCUCAGAAAAGAGAGGUAUUUUUGAAACAAUCCCUUAUAGGCUGGGCACUGAUGUGGGGUAACAAAGCCUAUAGUGUCUUGUCUUGCCAAAUAUUCUCUUUCUGUCAUACAAAGAGCCAAUGUUUUAUAUAAGAUCAUAUUUUUAUAGUUUUCUAAAGAAAUUUUUAAGAGAAAGAAUAUGUUUUCAUUUUGUCUUUUUUUAAUGGAGCUGUACAAAAUUGGCUUCAGAGCCACCUUUCAUAAACAUGUAGUGUUAUGGGCCGAAUAUUUGCGUGUACCCAAACUUCCUGUGUUGAAAUCCUAACCCCAAAGUUGAUGGUAUUAGGAGACAGGGCCUUUGGGAGGUAAUUAGUCAUAAGGGUGGAGCCCUCCUGAAUGGGAUUAGUGCCCUUAUGAAAAAGACCCGGAAGAGCUCUCACACUUCUUUCCACCAUGUGAAGAUACAAGAAGUCGCAGUCUGCAACCCAGAAGAAGGCCUUCACCAGAACUGGCCAUGCUGGCAUCCUGAUCUCAGAUUCCAGCCUCCAGGACUAUGGUUUUCUAUUUUCCUGAUUGGACCAUGAGUGAUAUACCGUUAAUAGCUUGGAUGACCAAAUUCAAGGUAUUUAUAUUUUAACAUUCUGGAAAUUGAUACUUUACCUCCAAUACCCUUCCAAGAAAUUGGAAACCCCAGUUGGAGAAUCUUCAACCUCCUCCAUGUUUCAAAUGCUCGUUGCCUUUGGGAUGGGAGCAAAGUAAUGCCAUGGCAACUGCUGGGUGCAUAAGGGCCUGGGGGCCAUAAAGGGUCUGAGUGGUUGUGUCCAGGUUAUAGUCAUCCAUAGUGAGGAUUCCCCCUCCCCAUACCCGAGACCCAGAAAAAGGACUGGACAGAAGAAACACCAUUGAUAACCAAUAGAAAUAUGCCUGAGCGAUAGCUGGCAGCUGCCACUGGAACUUUCUUUGUAUUGGGCUUGGGAGAAUGGCAUAUGCUGGAGGAGGGGGAGAGGAAGGGCUUACAGAGAAAAACAUAGAAACUGAGAGGGUUUGAGUAGUUCGGGGGAACAGCUACAUGGAAUACUCUGAAAGCCUGGUCCCCCUAACAAGGAAAGUUAGCUAAACAAAUCCUCUGUGUAUGUAUGAUUUGGGGUCUCAGAGUGGAAUUCUUUCUAAAGGCAUUGUUUAAAAUACCAUCAAAGGCCAUUUUGUAUCUAGGAUACAGAAAACUAGCAAAGUAGUAUUUAAAAGGGAUAAAUACCCAUUUCACACACACACACACACACACACACACACACACACACACACACACACACACACUCCACUGGCUUCUGCUGGACUCUAUCCUCCCUUCUCUCAGAUUAACAGAAGAAACCCCAAGCUGGAGAGACCGGCCCAUUCCCUUCGUUUUUCCUCCUGCCCAGAAGACAGUGUGGGGCUCCCCCAGUAUGUGGGGCAGAAAAGAGGAGACUGGGAAAAGAGUUAUGAUCCAAUAUUGGGAUAACUGAGGGCCAGUUUCAGGUCCCAGUCACUUCUAUAACCCAGCAGAAUAGCAUGUAGUCAGCACCCAAUAAAUGUUUAUUGAAUCAAAUUUGGUCUGUGCUUCUGUGCAUCUUCUCUGCAAGUCUACCAACUGGAAAGCACUUUGCAAUUUUGUUUCUGAGCCAAUAUACACACCAUCAUUUCUUUUAGCAACCUUCUGGGACUUGGAUUAGCUUUGAAAAAUCCACUAGCAUUAGGAAGUCCUAUGAAAGGGUGUGAGGAUAAAGAAAGACAGUGAUCGAUAUAUUUUUGCUGACUGAUGUGCAGCUCGAAUGUUGAUGAACAGUACCAAGUGGGCAGGUCUCAUCAGACAUACAACGGCAACGAAGUGGCUCACUUCUUGGGCGAGACUAACUUGAAAUUGCUCUAGAAGAAAGAGGGUAGGAGAUGAGCUUCCCCUUCCGAGAAGUAAAUUGGCAGGGCUGACUAAUUAAAGUUAAAAGCAAAUGUCUGAGUCACACUUCCUGGCUUUCUGGCUCCCUCCUUUUGGUCUCCCACUUAUUUCUGAAACAUGUGCUACUCCACUGGAAAACACUGCGGAUAACACAUUUGACACUAAUGUAGACACUAAUGAUUUUAAGUUUC